ACUCAAAGGAAUUGACGGGGGCCCGCACAAGCGGUGGAGCAUGUGGUUUAAUUCGACGCAACGCGAAGAACCUUACCUGGGUUUGACAUGUGCAGGAUCAGUGAUGAAAGUCACUCUCUCUUCGGAGCCUGUACACAGGUGCUGCAUGGCUGUCGUCAGCUCGUGUCGUGAGAUGUUGGGUUAAGUCCCGCAACGAGCGCAACCCUCGCCCUCUGUUGCUACCAGGUGAUGCUGGGCACUCUGAGGGGACUGCCCCGGUGAACGGGGAGGAAGGUGGGGAUGACGUCAAGUCCUCAUGGCCUUUAUGUCCAGGGCUACACACGUGCUACAAUGGUCAGGACAAUGGGUCGCUCCCGCGUAAGCGGUGGCCAAUCUCAAAAACCUGACCUUAGUUCGGAUGGUCGGCUGCAACUCGCCGGCCUGAAGCUGGAAUCGCUAGUAAUCGGAGAUCAGCACGCUCCGGUGAAUACGUUCCCGGGCCUUGUACACACCGCCCGU
rnacentral:rRNA from 1 species